rnacentral:ncRNA from 1 species
UAACAAGGACGACCCUGUUAUUUUUUACUCAUCGAGGACGACCUC